GGGGGGGGGGGGGGGGGGGGUGGGGGGGGGCGGGUGGGGGGGAAGGGCCCGGCGUGCGGGGGGCUCGAGGGGGGAGCGGGGGGGGAAGAGGUGGGUGGUCUGCGCUGGACUUAGGGAUAGGCCUGGGAGAAUGGGUCUAAUACCGGAGCGGAGCCAUUUUGAGUGUGAUGGUUGGAACGUUUUGUCGGUGUAGGUUGAGCUCGCGGCCUAUCAGCUGGUUGGUGGGGUAAUGGCCUACCCAGGCGGCGACGGGUAGCCGGCCUGAGAGGGUGGACGGCCACAUUGGGACUGAGAUACGGCCCAGACUCCUACGGGAGGCAGCAGUGGGGAAUAUUGCACAAUGGGCGCAAGCCUGAUGCAGCGACGCCGCGUGGGGGAUGACGGCCUUCGGGUUGUAAACUCCUUUCGCUAGGGACGAAGCUUUUUGUGACGGUACCUAGAUAAGAAGCACCGGCUAACUACGUG
rnacentral:rRNA from 1 species